GACGAACCGUGCGAACGUUGUUCGGAAUCACUGGGCUUAAAGGGCGCGUAGGCGGGCUGUCAAGUCUGGGGUGAAAUGCCGCGGCUCAACCGUGGAACUGCCUUAGAUACUGACGGCCUCGAGGAAGGUAGGGGCAUGCGGAACUGUAGGUGGAGCGGUGAAAUGCGUUGAUAUCUACAGGAACUCCGGUGGCGAAAGCGGCGUGCUGGACCUUUUCUGACGCUGAGGCGCGAAAGCUAGGGGAGCAAAGCGGG
rnacentral:rRNA from 1 species